GGACCACUGCGGGGUUCGUCAGACCAGCGAAGCCCCUGGGCCAAUGAAGUCCUCUAGGGAGCUGUCACUGUCCGGGGCCGUGGUCCCGGACACAACGGCGCCCACCUGGUUAGCCAGGCCACAGAGGUGCUUGCAUAUGUCGACGGCUUUCGCGGGGCCGC
rnacentral:other from 1 species